rnacentral:rRNA from 1 species
GUGAACCUUUACUAUAGCUUGACACUGAACAUUGAGCCUUGAUGUGUAGGAUAGGUGGGAGGCUUAGAAGUGUGGACGCCAGUCUGCAUGGAGCCGACCUUGAAAUACCACCCUUUAAUGUUUGAUGUUCUAACGUUGACCCGUAAUCCGGGUUGCGGACAGUGUCUGGUGGGUAGUUUGACUGGGGCGGUCUCCUCCUAAAGAGUAACGGAGGAGCACGAAGGUUGGCUAAUCCUGGUCGGACAUCAGGAGGUUAGUGCAAUGGCAUAAGCCAGCUUGACUGCGAGCGUGACGGCGCGAGCAGGUGCGAAAGCAGGUCAUAGUGAUCCGGUGGUUCUGAAUGGAAGGGCCAUCGCUCAACGGAUAAAAGGUACUCCGGGGAUAACAGGCUGAUACCGCCCAAGAGUUCAUAUCGACGGCGGUGUUUGGCACCUCGAUGUCGGCUCAUCACAUCCUGGGGCUGAAGUAGGUCCCAAGGGUAUGGCUGUUCGCCAUUUAAAGUGGUACGCGAGCUGGGUUUAGAACGUCGUGAGACAGUUCGGUCCCUAUCUGCCGUGGGCGCUGGAGAACUGAGGGGGGCUGCUCCUAGUACGAGAGGACCGGAGUGGACGCAUCACUGGUGUUCGGGUUGUCAUGCCAAUGGCACUGCCCGGUAGCUAAAUGCGGAAGAGAUAAGUGCUGAAAGCAUCUAAGCACGAAACUUGCCCCGAGAUGAGUUCU